rnacentral:lncRNA from 1 species
UAUUUAUCCAAUGCGCUGGAGUUCCUAACCCUUUCCUAAACCCGUCUCUCUUGCAGGCCCAAGGGACUGUUGCCGAAAGAGCCUCUGAUCUCUCUCUGGCAAUGAAGGCCACCUUAAAGGAGAGAGCGGCGGAGGAAAUGGAUGGAGGUCCCUCACCUCCAGGCAAUAGAUCUUCUCUUGGGAUUCAUUCCAGAACGUCUCUGAUCUGUGAUGUUCCUGUGGAGGAGCCGAAUAAGGUAGGAAAAGAACAGCCAGGACAGGUGCCUUCUUCCUCACCAGGGACUGGGAGAACCUGGUCUCUGUUGGAUAUACUGCAAUCUACAUAUGAUGCCUUUAAAAGGUUUUGGCUGGAAGGCACUUUUCUGGACUGGGGUUGAAUAUCUAGUUGCAGCCAGUUGAUCCCUCUCUGCCCCAGGUCCUUUUCCCUGUCUUUUUCCAGUCAGCCUUCUGUCAGUUAGCGUGAGGUGUUCUGUCGGCUGCGCAAUGAGUCAGUUCAUCUCUAAUUAAGUUAGUUAACCAGUUAAGCUCAGGGAUGUAACAAGUUUAACAUUUUUACGCAAUAUUAUGUUUAUUUUUUAUAUAUGAAGAACUGUAAGUAAACAGAAGCUCUUUCAUUACCAGAGUCUCUGAGUGAAUGAUUGAGAGAGUACAGUAAGUGCCAGUUGCAGUAAAUUAACCAAAUAAGGAGUGGUCAGCUGGGGAAGACUUGGUAGCUCAAUCUUCUCUGUAGAUUUCCUGUCAGAACCAUUUUAUCUGCUACAUUAGAGGAAAGUUAAUAUUUUCUGUAAGCCACAUUCAGUUUUCUUACACCACCCUCUGCUGCCCAAGAGUCUUUUCCUUAUCCUACACAACAACAGCAGCAACAACAAUAAUAAUAGAACCAUGGAGCUGAAUCAUAGAAUCUAGUGCCUGUCAAGGAGUUGCAGUGGGGGAUCGAACUUCCAACCUCUGGUUCUACAGCCAGAUUUUAUUUUAUUUUUUUUGCGGGGGGGGGCUUGAUCUCCCCGGAUCAGCCUUGGCCUCUUUCUUCCAGGCUCCAGUGACCUUUGAGGAGGUGGCUGUACAUUUCACGGAAGAGGAGUGGGCCCUGCUGGAUCUGGGCCAGAAGACCCUGCACCGGAAAAUCAUGGAGGAGAACCAUGGGCUUUUGGUCUCACUGGGUAAAUUUACUCCUUUGCCUCUUUGAUUCUUUACAGGAAUGUAAAUGGCACCAAGAGGCAUCGGGAUUUCCCCCUUUGGAGCACAAUUC